rnacentral:rRNA from 1 species
CGAAGUGGUUGAUGCCAUGCUUCCAAGAAAAGCUUCUAAGCUUCAGGUAACCAGGAACCGUACCCCAAACCGACACAGGUGGUUGGGUAGAGAAUACCAAGGCGCUUGAGAGAACUCGGGUGAAGGAACUAGGCAAAAUGGCACCGUAACUUCGGGAGAAGGUGCGCCGGUGAGGGUGAAGGACUUGCUCCGUAAGCUCAUGCCGGUCGAAGAUACCAGGCCGCUGCGACUGUUUAUUAAAAACACAGCACUCUGCAAACACGAAAGUGGACGUAUAGGGUGUGACGCCUGCCCGGUGCCGGAAGGUUAAUUGAUGGGGUUAGCUAACGCGAAGCUCUUGAUCGAAGCCCCGGUAAACGGCGGCCGUAACUAUAACGGUCCUAAGGUAGCGAAAUUCCUUGUCGGGUAAGUUCCGACCUGCACGAAUGGCGUAACGAUGGCGGCGCUGUCUCCACCCGAGACUCAGUGAAAUUGAAAUCGCUGUGAAGAUGCAGUGUAUCCGCGGCUAGACGGAAAGACCCCGUGAACCUUUACUAUAGCUUUGCACUGGACUUUGAAUUUGCUUGUGUAGGAUAGGUGGGAGGCUUUGAAGCGUGGACGCCAGUUCGCGUGGAGCCAUCCUUGAAAUACCACCCUGGCAACUUUGAGGUUCUAACUCAGGUCCGUUAUCCGGAUCGAGGACAGUGUAUGGUGGGUAGUUUGACUGGGGCGGUCUCCUCCUAAAGAGUAACGGAGGAGUACGAAGGUGCGCUCAGACCGGUCGGAAAUCGGUCGUAGAGUAUAAAGGCAAAAGCGCGCUUGACUGCGAGACAGACACGUCGAGCAGGUACGAAAGUAGGUCUUAGUGAUCCGGUGGUUCUGUAUGGAAGGGCCAUCGCUCAACGGAUAAAAGGUACUCCGGGGAUAACAGGCUGAUACCGCCCAAGAGUUCAUAUCGACGGCGGUGUUUGGCACCUCGAUGUCGGCUCAUCACAUCCUGGGGCUGAAGCCGGUCCCAAGGGUAUGGCUGUUCGCCAUUUAAAGUGGUACGCGAGCUGGGUUUAGAACGUCGUGAGACAGUUCGGUCCCUAUCUGCCGUGGACGUUUGAGAUUUGAGAGGGGCUGCUCCUAGUACGAGAGGACCGGAGUGGACGAACCUCUGGUGUUCCGGUUGUCACGCCAGUGGCAUUGCCGGGUAGCUAUGUUCGGAAUAGAUAACCGCUGAAAGCAUCUAAGCGGGAAACUAGCCUCAAGAUGAGAUCUCACUGG